CCCAGGUUUGGAUUGUCUAGAAAGGGACAGAUCUCUCUGGGAACACCUUUCCCUCCCUGCACUGAAGACAGUGGGUCCAAGGUGUGCAGCUGCCUUCUGUAGGUGAAUCUUCUUCUCAAAGCUUAGAUCAGCCCCAGACUCUGUGUGACUGGAGCAACAGAGUUACAGGAAGAAGAAUGACAGGGGAGCUCUCUGAAGGAAUAUUACUGCAGGCUACCUACAGAGCUCAGAAGUAAUGCUCUUUACAGGCAAAUCACUGGGAAACAUCAUCGAAACUCAUCAUCAGACUUUGGCAGCUGUGUUGUGAGAGCCAAGACAAGACUGGAAGUGGAGAUCAUACAUCCUACGGAGCUAGUGCCAGUAUGCUGAAAUAUCAUAAAUGCUCAUACUUCAACAUGCCAGACUUGCAUAUGGACAUGCUUGCUGCACGAGGGAGCACACAUAUGCUCUUGCACACACACACAGCAUUAACUAGGCUCAAAUAUGUGGUGGCUGCUGAUAUUCAGUAGUAACUGAGCGGAGAUGGUUCUUCCACUUCACAGAGCAUUUUGAGAUCUCAGUUUCUGGCUUCAUUCUGAUUGUGGGUGGAGGGGAAGGCCGAAACUUUACUAUGCAAAAGCAUCCCAAGAUAUCAUUGUCCACACUUUUUCCCAGUUCUGAGGUGAUCUAACUGGUGGGUUGCUGGGAAAAUAGGAUCCUUGAAGGAUGGGGCUGAACUGUGGCUGGUCUGCUGGGCUCUGAGCAUCCCCCACCCCAGCAACUCGCCUAGCAAGAAAACUGAUAAAGAAGGAAGUGAUGUGGCCCAAAGCUAUGCUGUUUGUGCAUAGAUGUUUGCCUUGAUUCCAUUGGAAUAUAGUCCCAAGUUGACAGUCCUGGAGAAUAUUUCAGUUUCAUAAAAGCAUGUUGAAAAGCAUGUUUUCCUGAAAUCAUUUCAACUAGCUCAACUUGCAAGUUUUCAGAGGAAGCAGAUAAGAAAGCAGCUUACUGGAAAAUUGAAGUUGUCUCCUUGGUGGCAGAAUCAUACACGGUGUGAGGAGUGCCAUACUGAGCAGUAGGCUUCUGCAGAUAGAUAACACUAAUUGGAAAUUUUACCUCCCAGGCUUCCCACAAGCACCUGCAAAGACAUCCCUAGUUUGCCUUUAGCUCCUGCCAUGGUUUCUGUUUAAUGCUGAAGUUUGUCAGCAAAUGAUUCCCUUGCAUUUCCCCUGUGUAAUUCUUCCAUGUAUCUGAUGUCUCUCAUCCCACACUUAACACCAGAAGUUGCAUAGGACUGGAACGGUCUCUUUGCUAUCCAUGUGAGCAAUGCCAGUCACAGGGCAGCUUUGGUCCCCGGUUGGAGUUCUGCAGUUCACAGACAGUAGAUGAUAACAACACCAAAGGUAAACAACGUAGUAAAUCAUCAAAAGACAUAGCUGAGUGCAUAAUGUAGUGGACAAUCCAAAAUGUCCCAUAAGUGCAGUGUAAGGGUAAAAAGUAUAUAACAGAAAAGUAUGCUUUUUGAUCUCCCAGUUAAUAGCUAGGUCGCGUUAAGACAGCCGCGCGCAGAGGAUGAAAUGUAUGUACAAUAGCAGUAACCAGGAUGUGAAAAACAAAGCCAAAUGAUUUAUGAGUCUGAUUCCCAAGUGAUAAGAAUGAACAUAACAAAAAUAGAAUAGUAAAUUAGUUAGACAGGAAA